UUCCAACCUCAUUGUACAAUCGCGACAAGAGCACAAAUUCUCAACUCUUGUAGUUUUGAAGAAAAUGCCGAAUUAAUGUCAAAGAUCAAGAAUCUAGACUUCUCUUCGAUGACACGUGAAAGACGGACGAAGCUUCAGAGAGGACUGAUGCACUGCGCCACAAAUCGACGCACUCGCUCACACAACGACGUGUCUGAUUGGUCGAAAUGAGAGGACGCCAACAUGGGACGACCAAUCACAGCCAUCGAUAGAAGUUUCAAAGUGCUUCGAAACUUUAAUACUAAUCGUAAGGGAAAGACACGUGCAAGACGAACGAAGCUUCGAAGAGGAAUGCUGUACUGCGUCACAAAUCGACGCAUUCGCUCACACAGCGACGUGUCUGAUUGGUCGAAAUGAAAGGAUGCCCAAUGAAACAACCAAUCACAGCCAUUGGUAGAAGUUUCGAAACUGUAAUGCUAAUCGUAAUGGAAUCGUUCAUACAAUAAAUAUCAACGAAAAAAUCGAAUAAUGUACUUUUUUUAGCAA